UAAUAAGUGUUUUAUGGCACUUUUUAAAUCCAUAUCCACCUUGUAGUGCAAUGUCAGGUCGAUUCUUCUUUUUCGUCAGAGGAUCGACCAAACAUCAACUUAUUCUAUUGAACUUUUGUCUGAAAACUAUUAUGAAUAAACUAAUUCAAAAUA
rnacentral:misc_RNA from 1 species